GACGAAGGUGGCGAGCGUUGUUCGGAAUCACUGGGCAUAAAGCGCACGUAGGCGGCGACGUAAGUUGGGUGUGAAAUCCCUCGGCCCAACCGAGGAACUGCGCCCAGUACUGCGUUGCUUGAGGAUCCAAGGAGUGCAUGGAAUUCCCGGUGGAGCGGUGAAAUGCGUUGAUAUCGGGAGGAACUCCGGCGGCGAAAGCGGUGCACUGGUGGAUUACUGACGCUGAGGGUGCGAAAAGCC
rnacentral:rRNA from 1 species